GCCUUGGUGGUGGAAUGGUAGACACGAGGGACUUAAAAUCCCUUGGGCAGUAAUGCCUGUACGGGUUCGAGUCCCGUCCGAGGCA
rnacentral:tRNA from 1 species